CGCAUUUUCUUCUCCACCCACCCCCCAUUCUCUCUCGCCUCUCCUAUGGUUGCCGCCGCCACCACCACACUCGCCGCCACCACGACUCCCUCCCCUCUUGUCGCCGCCGCCUCCUCUCCUCCUCCCUGAUUCUCCUGACGACCCCGCGGCCCCCGUCCUUCCUCCUCGCCUCUUCUCACCCCCCUCCUCUGCCCAGUGAUGGUGGCCGCUCCUCCGCUGGCCCAUCUCCGUCGCCAGCCUCCUCGUCUCUCCCACGCCACCGACUAGAGCCAUGUGUGACAUCGUCGCCAUCGCCUAGCGCCUAGAGAUGGGCGAGGACGCCGGUCGGAAGCAGCAGCAGCAACAGCUAGAUGGCAGGAAACAACAGCUCGCCUAUUCAUAGGGUUGAAUCUCUGCACGGGCGUCCGUCUGUGCUGUGCGUGGGCUGCCUGCUGCCGGUGGCGUGCGUCUGGUGUCCAUGCUGCUGGAGGCGUUCGUGUGUGCUAGCUGUGUGGUGUGCGCGUGUUGUGCUUGUGCUGGUGUGCAUGGUUGAGUGCGUGUUUUGUGUUGGCGCUUCUAAUUAACUAGCGUAUUCUAUUGACUUGAAUUUGGCCCGGCUGAAAUAAGGAUCAGAGAAAUCAAGUCAGUAGCCGCAGCGUCUAAUUGAGAGCGGGUAAUCCCUUAGGACACACUACUCAUGCCGUCGGGUGGGGGAUAAGUACUACUCCAUGCAAUGUGUUUCUGACUAAUUAAUCCAGGGAUCAAGUCGGCCUAGAGCUUGCACGGCUUCAGUGGCUGACACACGCUGUGGAUUUUUUGAUCUUUUGAUUAAAUUUUUCCUGUAGCAGCUGAAAGGAACAAGGUGACUGGGAAGUACUGGGCUACAUACCUUCCUUUCCUUGAUUUUCCUUCCAAAAUCUAAGGAAGAUGCCCGGGUUCUCGUCAAAUGCAAGCUGCACUACUGUCAAAAAGUGUGCUCUAUUUUGCAGUGUCGUAACUUAGUGAAAGCAAGUGUGCUCUUGUCUAUGGGCAAAUGAAUGAGGUCCGGGGUGGUCGUGCUCGUGUAGAUCUGACUGGUUUUUCUGUUGGUGAACAUUUUUGUGACGCCAAAGGAUAAGCUGUGCUUCUGCUUAUUGAUUUUCCAUUUCACCCAGUGCUUCAGGUUUGCUCCACCAGAUAUUCCCAAUAUGGCCGCUACACAUAGCCAAGUUAUGUACAGCUACUGGAGGGUGCGAUUGGCUAUGUUGAUGUGCUUGUUUUUCCUAUAUGCAGUUCCUACUGUACAGAAAGCAAAAGAAGCUGCUUUGUGGCGUAUGAUGCAGACUAGGACACUGAGGAAAUUUCUGUGCAUGGUGAAAAUGUUGUGAUAGAACUCAUCGGCACAUCAGAAGAGGAUGUUGUUAUCUGCAAUAGCAACGGUGAGCACAGAACCCACAUCAAACAUCAUACUCACCCUGCUUAUGUUUUAUGCUAACAAUUGGUACGCGUGCUUCACUAUAUGUUGGUGCCGUGCGGUCGCAACAAGGAGCCUCGCACCUGAGCCUCUCCUUCCGCCUUUCGCCCAAGAGGACCUAGAAUCUUUGGCAAGAAACCAAAAUCAGAUCACCAUCUCCACUACAUCAUUUGUGGUGUGUGCAUAUUUACACCCGUGUCUUCUUGAUAUUGCUAUGUAGGUUGGCCUGGUGAGCACUAUCCAGGAGGAUUUGAUAAUCAUUGUGAAUGGGGGAACGAGGUGAAGCACUAUCAAUAGCAUGUUGACAAGCGCCCGAUCGCCGCAAAAGAACAUACCAUUCCAUAGUAUAUCUGCUGCAUGAACAAGACAUUUGCAAGCCCGGGCUAGUGGAUGGUGACUAUCUCCACACUUGAUCUUCUAUAUGAUGGUGUCAGAGGAUCAGUCUUCUGCGACACCCGGGACAUGCUCUACAUCGAGGAGUACGAUGGCAAGCCGGCGAUGGCAUGACGAGCAGACGCUCGAGCAGCUUAUUUUUCUUUCAGAUGCUUAGGUCAUGCUGAGGAAUUGUUUGACAGACCCGAUGGCAAUGUGGCAUAUGCGGACAGAGAUUGCUAGCUAUUCGCUCGCAAGUGCGCUUAUGAACUUCUUAUAUCACUCCUCUAUCAGUUGGCUACACAGACAACAAAAAAUGCAUUUAAAGGGGUGCCUCCUACCUGGUACAUCAACAACAAGUUCAGCAACCAGUACAAGGCGAUGAACGGAGGAACACCUGGUGGCAUCCGGUACUUUGGUGAGCUUGAAGACCACUGUUACUGGGGUAAUAAGGUGAAGCUCUAUGAAUGCCAUGUGGACACUCUUUUUUAUGUUCUGGUUUAGUACUACGUGUGCACAAUCAACAAAACAUCUGCCAAGCCAGGCCAGCGCAUGUAUUUUCAGGUACAAUAUACUGAAGAGAACCUGUUGGACUACAUUGAUCCACACAAUGAUACACUCAUGGUCAGACUUGAAUAUCACAUUAUGCUAGGAACUGACAAAAGGGCCACUAUAACCACCAACUGGUCCGAGUUUCGUCGCCGUGCGAACAUUCGUGAAGGAGACAUCUACGCUUUUCGUUUCGAGGUCACUUCAAACCGCCGGCUGGUUCUCACUGUGCACCCCCUCUAGAUGCACCAUCGAAAAACACCGCAAGUCAUGUGUCAAUAUAAUCUAGCACUAAGUAUUCCUAAUUAUGUUAUUUCCCAUAAUGAACCUAUGGUUUGCUUUUGGACCCUGCUAUCUGAUACUUUGGAAGAUACUAAACCUAUGCCGUUGCUUAUGUAAACUGUACUGUUCUCAGUCAGAUGGUUCACAUCCACCUGUUAAGAUCCA